CACGGAGGGAAGAGGGGAAAACCUGCUUUUAGUUGCAGCUUCUUAGGCCUGCGGAGUUCUGGCCACACUCGAGGAGAGGGGAUUACAUAGGAUGUGCUCCUUAGAGGCUAUGGAUUUUUCCGACCAUCUUAGAAUUCCACUUAUGACUUAGAUCAGGUUUUGAUCAGUUUGAAGAAUAAAACAUAGGUUAUAGGGAUCUUAGAGUCAGAAUUCUGGCAUAAGACUGGUGGAGCCUGAUGCCCACCUUACUACAAAUAAAAAUUGUUUUCUUUCUAAGGAGCUUUAUAUUAGUACUCACCACUGCAGGAAGUUUCAUGGAAGAACCCAAGACAUUUUCAAAUUGGAGAACUGAUUGAAUAGAUGAGG